rnacentral:sRNA from 1 species
AGGAAAAUUGAAGAAAUACUUUACUGGCUCUUUCAUGCCUCUAUAUAAUGCUGCAUCAUAAGCAUUUCGGAGAAGAGAUCUAGCCAGCGGAUCGAAAAACAGUACUAAAAGCGAUCGGAAUAUCAAAGCGUAGGGACUUCGGUCGUAGGUGAGAUGCAGCCGAAUGCCUUGUAUAUUGGGUUGCUUCGGUUUCAAGCUGUAUAUAUAUAGCUAGCCAAUUCGUGGCACCGAGCUUCAUCUGUCCUCGACUGAAGCCUCUCAAGCUUUGUUUCCACAGAAAAGCAACCCAUCUUUAAUUUCUUUGCAAGCUUGGAGAAUGAUCAGAUCCGGCCACCUACGACGUCUACUUCUACAUAGGCAACGGAGAAACGCAUGGCCUGGUCGGCAGGGGUGUUGAUCAUUAGCUAGCUAGUGAAGGACUCGAACACAUGAUUUCUUCUGAGAAGGGUAUAUUUGUCAAGAUGAAGGCUGAAGGAUGACGAGCUAAUUGGAGAUCUUCUGUUCACAAGGUUCACCGCAAGUUUAGUCAUUUUACAUGUCAUUGCAGUAUUAAUUAGAACAUAGUAAUCAUCGUAAGCCUGCAACUGGUGUUUUUAUCUUGUGCUAAAUAUUCAAGCCAGCUAUGUUUGGAGAUAGCAACAAAUUAGCCUAUUUUCUCUUAGUUUAAUUGAUUUGACUUUAAUUUUACUGGUCCAGAAUAUUAUUUAACUUAUAUAUAUUUGU